AUGAAGACAUUGAUGAUGGUUCAAAUAUAACUGAUGAAUCUUUUCAUGCUGCUUAUGAAGAUGCGACAAACACAGAAAUCGUAGAUGACAUCAUCUCAACACAAGACACGUCCAAUGAAAUUCAGCGCUUGGAAGGAGUGCCUGAAGACAAUCAAAUUGAU